rnacentral:rRNA from 1 species
UACGUAGGGUGCAAGCGUUGUCCGGAAUUAUUGGGCGUAAAGAGCUCGUAGGCGGUCUGUCGCGUCUGCUGUGAAAACUCAGGGCUUAACCCUGAGCUUGCAGUGGGUACGGGCAGACUAGAGUGCGGUAGGGGAGACUGGAAUUCCUGGUGUAGCGGUGAAAUGCGCAGAUAUCAGGAAGAACACCAAUGGCGAAGGCAGCUCUCUGGGACGGUACUGACGCUGAGACGCGAAAGCGUGGGGAGCGAAUGGG